rnacentral:rRNA from 1 species
UGCCAGACUCCUACGGGAGGCAGCAGUGGGGAAUAUUGGGCAAUGGGCGCAAGCCUGACCCAGCAAUGCCGCGUGAAGGAAGAAGGCUUUCGGGUUGUAAACUUCUUUGACAGGGGAAGAGCAGAAGACGGUACCCUGAAAACAAGCCACGGCUAACUACGUGCCAGCAGCCGCGGUAAUACGUAGGGGGCGAGCGUUAUCCGGAUUCACUGGGUGUAAAGGGAGCGUAGACGGCCAUGCAAGCCAGGGGUGAAAGCCCGGGGCCCAACCCCGGGACUGCCCUUGGAACUGUGCGGCUAGAGUGCGGGAGGGGCAGGCGGAAUUCCUAGUGUAGCGGUGAAAUGCGUAGAUAUUAGGAGGAACACCAGUGGCGAAGGCGGCCUACUGGACGGUGACUGACGCUGAGGCUCGAAAGCGUGGGGAGCAAACAGGAUUAGAUACCCGAGUA